UCUAUGGUUGGUCAUCGUCAUUGUC
rnacentral:piRNA from 1 species